rnacentral:rRNA from 1 species
AUUGAACGCUGGCGGCAUGCUUUACACAUGCAAGUCGAACGGUAACAGGCCUUCGGGUGCUGACGAGUGGCGAACGGGUGAGUAAUGCAUCGGAACGUACCCAGAGGUGGGGGAUAACGCAGCGAAAGCUGUGCUAAUACCGCAUGUGAUCUGAGGAUGAAAGCGGGGGACCGAGCAGCAACGUUUGGCCUCGCGCCUUUGGAGCGGCCGAUGUCGGAUUAGCUAGUUGGUGGGGUAAAGGCCUACCAAGGCGACGAUCCGUAGCUGGUCUGAGAGGACGACCAGCCACACUGGGACUGAGACACGGCCCAGACUCCUACGGGAGGCAGCAGUGGGGAAUUUUGGACAAUGGGCGCAAGCCUGAUCCAGCAAUGCCGCGUGCGGGAAGAAGGCCUUCGGGUUGUAAACCGCUUUUGGCAGGAACGAAACGGUGUCCGCUAAUACCGGGCGCUAAUGACGGUACCUGCAGAAUAAGCACCGGCUAACUACGUG